rnacentral:rRNA from 1 species
AACGAACGCUGGCGGCAUGCCUAACACAUGCAAGUCGAACGAGACCUUCGGGUCUAGUGGCGCACGGGUGCGUAACGCGUGGGAACCUGCCCUUAGGUUCGGAAUAACUCCCCGAAAGGGGUGCUAAUACCGGAUAAUGUCUUCGGACCAAAGAUUUAUCGCCUUUGGAUGGGCCCGCGUUGGAUUAGCUAGUUGGUAGGGUAAAAGCCUACCAAGGCGACGAUCCAUAGCUGGUCUGAGAGGAUGAUCAGCCACACUGGGACUGAGACACGGCCCAGACUCCUACGGGGGGCAGCAGUGGGGAAUAUUGGACACGGGGCGAAAGCCUGAUCCAGCAGUGCCGCGUGAGUGAUGAAGGCCUUAGGGUUGUAAAGCUCUUUUACCCGGGAUGAUAAUGACAGUACCGGGAGAAUAAGCUCCGGCUAACUCCGUG